AUUGAACGCUGGCGGCAGGCCUAACACAUGCAAGUCGAACGGUAACAGGAAGAAGCUUGCUUCUUUGCUGACGAGUGGCGGACGGGUGAGUAAUGUCUGGGAAACUGCCUGAUGGAGAGGGAUAACUACUGGAAACGGUAGCUAAUACCGCAUAACGUCGCAAGACCAAAGAGGGGGACCUUCGGGCCUCUUGCCAUCGGAUGUGCCCAGAUGGGAUUAGCUAGUAGGUGGGGUAACGGCUCACCUAGGCGACGAUCCCUAGCUGGUCUGAGAGGAUGACCAGCCACACUGGAACUGAGACACGGUCCAGACUCCUACGGGAGGCAGCAGUGGGGAAUAUUGCACAAUGGGCGCAAGCCUGAUGCAGCCAUGCCGCGUGUAUGAAGAAGGCCUUCGGGUUGUAAAGUACUUUCAGCGGGGAGGAAGGGAGUAAAGUUAAUACCCUUGCUCAUUGACGUUACCCGCAGAAGAAGCACCGGCUAACUCCGUG
rnacentral:rRNA from 1 species